GAGGGUACAGCUCAGUGGUAGAGCACAUGCUUAGCAUGCAUGCAGCCCUGGGUUCAAUUCCCAGUACUGCCU
rnacentral:tRNA from 1 species